AAAUGCGACCUUCGUUGCACGCUGGUGGCGUAAGCAACGAUUUUGCGAAUUUUUGGCAAUUUAUCGAAGUUCCGUCUAAAAAUAGGGGCGAAAUUAUUUAAAGCAAAAAUGACCUAAAUGAUGAAUCAUGCCGAUGUAAUGUAAUAGAGGCGGAGUUCAGACGGUAGUUGGCAGCCACUCGGGAAUUGUUUUCAUAUUCCGCAAGUCAGGUGAAAUUUCUUGUUGUGGCCGCAUUCGUGCGAAAGGUAUUGUGGAAACUUGUUCUUGGAAACAUCUGUUAGAAGAUGGUUUCUCUGGAAACUCGUUGGGAUCCCAUCCACGGGUACGACUACACUUAUUGGCCGGACUCGAAGUAUUUCAAAAACUAUCGGUUCUCUCCACCAAUCAGCUAUGACGAUCCAUGGGGUUACCGAUCCAGAGUCUGGUUUCCCUACUAUUGGUCCACCAGAAGACUCUUCCAACACUACAUCGACUCAAAGCCUUCGGAUGUUUCCAUCCGGGAUGUCAGAUUGAGAAAUAAUCUCUACUUCUAAGGCCGGAUCGCUAGAUGGAUGGUUGUUUGCAGCGCUUCGCAUAACUAUGCCAGGCACGGAUCGUUGAUGCAUACUAAUUUUAAUCCCAAAGAGUUAAGUGUAACGAACGAUAUAAUUUGUUGUAUAACGUAAUGGAACAACGGUGCAAUUCAAUAAAUAAGUGUCUCCUAA